rnacentral:misc_RNA from 1 species
GAAAAGUAAGGUUGGUGAAUCAACGUAUCCAAAUCCAAAUGAGUUUACUGCAGUUGAUUUAGACAACAAAAUGGAGCAAAUUGGGGAUGAUAAUAAUGAUGCUGAAGUUCAAGAGUUAUUCCAACACACUCAAGAAAGUCAAAAUCAACAAGCUGAGAAAGACGAGGUCAAAAAAAGCACUCACGUUUGAUAUUUUCAAAGUCCACUUUACAA